rnacentral:tRNA from 2 species
AGUGUGGCUCAACGGUAGAGCAGCUGACUUGUAAUCAGCAGGUUGGAGGUUCGAUUCCUCUCACU